rnacentral:rRNA from 1 species
AACGCUAGCUACAGGCUUAACACAUGCAAGUCGAGGGGCAGCAUGGUCUUAGCUUGCUAAGGCCGAUGGCGACCGGCGCACGGGUGAGUAACGCGUAUCCAACCUUCCCCUUAGUAGGGCAUAGCCCGUAGAAAUGCGGAUUAAUACCCUAUGUUGUCCUCCAAUGGCAUCAGCCGUGGACCAAAGGUUUACCGCUAAGGGAUGGGGAUGCGUCUGAUUAGGUUGCAGGCGGGGUAACGGCCCACCUGGCCUACGAUCAGUAGGGGUUCUGAGAGGAAGGUCCCCCACACUGGUACUGAGACACGGACCAGACUCCUACGGGAGGCAGCAGUGAGGAAUAUUGGUCAAUGGGCGUAAGCCUGAACCAGCCAAGUAGCGUGCAGGAAGACAGCCCUAUGGGUUGUAAACUGCUUUUAUGCGGGGAUAAAGUUGGGGAAUGUUCCCCAUUUGCAGGUACCGCAUGAAUAAGGACCGGCUAAUUCCGUGCCAGCAGCCGCGGUAAUACGGAAGGUCCAGGCGUUAUCCGGAUUUAUUGGGUUUAAAGGGAGCGCAGGCGGGUGCUUAAGCGUGCUGCGAAAUGUACCGGCUCAACCGGUGAGUUGCAGCGCGAACUGGGUGCCUUGAGUGUAUUCGAUGUCAGCGGAACUCGUGGUGUAGCGGUGAAAUGCUUAGAUAUCACGAAGAACUCCGAUUG